UACGUAGGGGGCUAGCGUUGUCCGGAAUCAUUGGGCGUAAAGCGCGUGUAGGCGGUCCGGUAAGUCCGCUGUGAAAGUCGGGGGCUCAACCCUCGGAUGCCGGUGGAUACUGUCGGGCUUGAGUACGGAAGAGGCGAGUGGAAUUCCUGGUGUAGCGGUGAAAUGUGCAGAUAUCAGGAGGAACACCAAUUGCGAAGGCAGCUCGCUGGGACGUUACUGACGCUGAGACGCGAAAGCGUGGGGAGCAAACAGG
rnacentral:rRNA from 1 species